GGGGGAUAUUGCACAAUGGGGGAAACCCUGAUGCAGCGACGCCGCGUGGAGGAAGAAGGUUUUCGGAUUGUAAACUCCUGUCGUUAGGGACGAUAAUGACGGUACCUAACAAGAAAGCACCGGCUAACUACGUGCCAGCAGCCGCGGUAAAACGUAGGGUGCAAGCGUUGUCCGGAAUUACUGGGUGUAAAGGGAGCGCAGGCGGACCGGCAAGUUGGAAGUGAAAACUAUGGGCUCAACCCAUAAAUUGCUUUCAAAACUGCUGGCCUUGAGUAGUGCAGAGGUAGGUGGAAUUCCCGGUGUAGCGGUGGAAUGCGUAGAUAUCGGGAGGAACACCAGUGGCGAAGGCGACCUACUGGGCACCAACUGACGCUGAGGCUCGAAAGCAUGGGUAGCAAACAGGAUUAGAUACCCUGGUAGUCCAUGCCGUAAACGAUGAUUACUAGGUGUUGGAGGAUUGACCCCUUCAGUGCCGCAGUUAACACAAUAAGUAAUCCACCUGGGGAGUACGACCGCAAGGUUGAAACUCAAAGGAAUUGACGGGGGCCCGCACAAGCAGUGGAGUAUGUGGUUUAAUUCGACGCAACGCGAAGAACCUUACCAAGUCUUGACAUCCCUUGACGAUGCUGGAAACAGUAUUUCUCUUCGGAGCAAGGAGACAGGUGGUGCAUGGUUGUCGUCAGCUCGUGUCGUGAGAUGUUGGGUUAAGUCCCGCAACGAGCGCAACCCUUAUGGUCAGUUACUACGCAAGAGGACUCUGGCCAGACUGCCGUUGACAAAACGGAGGAAGGUGGGGAUGACGUCAAAUCAUCAUGCCCUUUAUGACUUGGGCUACACACGUACUACAAUGGCGUUAAACAAAGAGAAGCAAGACCGCGAGGUGGAGCAAAACUCAGAAACAACGUCCCAGUUCGGACUGCAGGCUGCAACUCGCCUGCACGAAGUCGGAAUUGCUAGUAAUCGUGGAUCAGCAUGCCACGGUGAAUACGUUCCCG
rnacentral:rRNA from 1 species